rnacentral:rRNA from 1 species
UCCACGCCGUAAACGAUGGGCAUUAGGUGAAGGGAGUAUUGACCCUCCCUGUGCCGACGCUAACGCAUUAAAUGCCCCGCCUGGGGAGUACGGUCGCAAGAUUAAAACUCAAAGGAAUUGACGGGGGCCCGCACAAGCGGUGGAGUAUGUGGUUUAAUUCGACGCAACGCGAAGAACCUUACCUGGGCUUGACAUCCCGGGAAUCCCGUGGAAACAUGGGAGUGCCCUUCGGGGAACCUGGUGACAGGUGCUGCAUGGCUG